AUUGAACGCUGGCGGCAGGCCUAACACAUGCCAGUAGAACGAGUGGCGGACGGGUGAGUAAUGUCUGGGAAACUGCCCGAUGGAGGGGGAUAACUACUGGAAACGGUAGCCAAUACAGCAUACCAUCGGAUGUGCCCAGAUGGGAUUAGCUAGUAGGUGGGGUAACGGCUCACCUAGGAGACGAUCCCUAGCUGGUCUGAGUGGAUGACCAGCCACACUUGAACUGAGACACGGUCCAGACUCCGACGGGAGGCAGCAGUGGUGAAUAUUGCACCAUGGGCGCAAGCCUGAUGCAGCCAUGCCGCGUGUAUGAAUAAGGCCUGCGGGUUGUAAAGUACGUUCAGCGAGGAGGCGUUACUCGCAGAAGCAGCACCGGCUAACUCCGUGCCAGCAGCCGCGGUAAUAC
rnacentral:rRNA from 1 species